UCCACCACUUAUGCCUUGGGUGAUUCACUUAAUCUUUUUAGUCUCGAGGUGUUCAUACCUAGCUGAUGCCUUCUAUGGGACAGAAUUCCUCUAGGAUAAAUGAAAGCGGUAGCAGUGUCUGGCAUACGGUGAAUGGACCCCUUGCUCAGCAGUGGAUGUAUAUCAGGCUGACCCCCUCCACCCCGGAAAUACGAGCUGGGCUCUGAAGACACCCAGGCAACGCUGGGGCACAUCAUUCUUGGGCCUGAUUUGGCCAGUGGCCAGUGAGAAGGCACAGGUCACAGAAGAAGCAAACAGAACAUGAUCUUUGUGAGGCUGCAGUGAGGACUCUUUAAAUUCAGCCUGGGCAGGGGAGCCACCCUCUUUCACCUUCUUCACAGACGUGGAGAAAACCUUUGGUUUGGGGAGAUAGAGAGAGUUGUUUGAUCCAGCUCUUGAAGCAGGGUGACAUAGUGUAUUCACAGGGGUGACCUGGCGUCAGACACUGUUAUGUCCGAGAUGAUACACUUUUCUAUACCAGCUCCCAGCUCCCAGCUAGAAACUAGGGUAUUUUCUCUACCGAGCAGUGCUUUGGGCUUGCAGGCUUCCAUGCAUGGGGCCCAGAAGGUGGCUUUGUUACAAGGAAAAACAACAUUCAUAUUCUGCAAUAGGCAGUGGUCACCCAGAAUCCCACAGCACUUCACAGCUUUGUCAUAGUCACCCCUGAAGGUACCCCACAGACAUGCUCCCAUAGUUUUCCAUGGACCUUGUGUGUUCAAAUCCCAGCUCUGCUGCUUUCUAGCUGUUUCAUCUGGGACUGCACACGAUGGUUGGAGUUCCUGCAGCUAUCUUUGGCAGUAAUGCAGCUUUGAUGAUGGAAGCCUUUUGCUAUGGAAGGUGGAACACAAACACAGAAGACAGUCAGAUUACUGAUGCCUAUGGGGCCUCCAUAGCAGCCUUGGAUUGCCUGUUUUGGGACUUCUAUGGGAAAGAAAAAUACAGCUAAUAUGCAAAUAGACUGAACGGCAGAACAACCAGAACAACCCAACAA